GACCGCGGCGAGCGGGCACCGGCUCCCCAUUCCGAUUAGGCAAUUAGCUGAUUGCUGCCCGCCCGCAGCCCGAGCGAGCGGUGCGCGGGGAUCUCGCUGCCUGCCCACCUCUCCUGCAAACAGAGGCACGUUCUCCGACUUUGAUAGCUCCCUGGGUUCCUGUGAAAAACAACCACAGCGUUUCCAGAGUGUGUUUCUCAAAUACCAGCGUCAGGGGAUCGCAGAAUUACAGCAACAAAUGUUACGAGCAUGGACGCUGAUGCAACCCCUCGUGUGGAGUGACCUGCCUCUGCCUUAGACCCAUCCGUUACGGUAUUUUGGUUUGGUAUCACACAACACAGGCUACUUUCGAAAAUACAGCUGGUCAGUUAAUUACAAAGCAUGCACAGAUCUUCUAUGUAAAAUGCUUGAAGUUCAGGGUGCUCCUCAUUGAAUUUCGGAUUCUCUAGUUGUUUCCAUUUCUAUUCACUAAGAGAAAGUGCCUUCUAAUCCCCAGCUCACAGAGGCUGUUUGGGCUACACAGCCAGCCAGCAGUUAGGAUUCUUUUCACUACUCCAGUUGGUUGAUUUCUUUGAUUGAUUUCAUAAACACAAGGUUACAAAC
rnacentral:lncRNA from 10 species